rnacentral:rRNA from 1 species
AUUGAACGCUGGCGGCAUGCUUUACACAUGCAAGUCGAACGGUAACAGGGAGCUUGCUCCGCUGACGAGUGGCGAACGGGUGAGUAAUGCGUCGGAACGUGCCGAGUAGUGGGGGAUAACGCAUCGAAAGGUGUGCUAAUACCGCAUACGUACUGAGGUAGAAAGUGGGGGACCUUCGGGCCUCACGCUAUUCGAGCGGCCGACGUCUGAUUAGCGAGUUGGUGAGGUAAAGGCUCACCAAGGCGACGAUCCGUAGCGGGUCUGAGAGGAUGAUCCGCCACACUGGGACUGAGACACGGCCCAGACUCCUACGGGAGGCAGCAGUGGGGAAUUUUGGACAAUGGGCGCAAGCCUGAUCCAGCCAUGCCGCGUGUCUGAAGAAGGCCUUCGGGUUGUAAAGGACUUUUGUCCGGGAGCAAAUGCUGGUGGCUAACAUCCACCGGAGCUGAGAGUACCGGAAGAAUAAGCACCGGCUAACUACGUGCCAGCAGCCGCAGUAAUAC